GGGUCAGUAGGUUGGUCGUGCCACCGGUACGUACUGGUCUCACUGAUUCCUCCUUCCUGAAGAACCGUAAUGCCAUUAAUUUGGUGUUGCGGGGAAACAGGACUGUUACUUUGAAAAAAUUUGAGUGUUUAAAGCAAGCUAGCGCUUGAAUACAUUAGCAUGGAAUAAUGAAAUAGGACGAUCGAUCCUAUUUUGUUGGUUUCUAGGAUUGACGUA
rnacentral:rRNA from 1 species